UGACCCCCACCUUUUCCCCCCAUGGGCACCAUCUCUGUCAUUAUUUUACCCCUCCACGGGCCAGGCCGGGCCGGGUCCCCCAUCUGGGCUCUGCGUCCCCCCCACACCCCGCGGGGCUGGGCUUCGUGGGGAUCAAGCUUCGUGGCUUUUUAUGAAGAAUCCCGAACCCCGCCUAGGAGCCCGCCCCACCUUCCCAGGGCUCCACCCUCAGCCCUCUGCCCACAGGGCCCAGGGACCACAGUGGCUGGACCAAUCCAGGACCAGGGCGCCUGGGCCUCUCUCCUUUCCCACAUCUGGGGAGGGGAGACAGGGGCUUUCCCUCACCACACCUGUGGCUGUUCCCACAUCCCUUUGAGUAUCCCAGGAAAAAUAAAACGCAGAACUGCACCGG
rnacentral:lncRNA from 1 species